rnacentral:lncRNA from 1 species
UGGGGGAAUGGUUGUAGACAGGAAUUUCUGCCAAGGCGAAAAGUUAAGAAUUCCAAUGGAAACACCUUCAAAAGAAACAUCAGGUGUUUCUGUUCCCGACACCAACUUGGCAGUUUUGGCUUCUGCUGCCCAUCGAGACCAUGGUAAAAGAGCAGUUUGGGAUGCUGCCUUAGGACCUUUCCAAAAAGAAAAGACUUCUCCAUUUUCUCCUGGGGAGGUCUGUGCCAAAAGGCCAUGUCAUGAUCUUUCUGAGAAGAGCUCUGCCAAAGCCAAGGCCUUGUCAUCCUGCUCCUUUCUGAAAAAUCUCUGGAAAUAUGUUGAAAGCCAUCACUUCUAGUUCAUUUGGUGGGGCAAUGAUGGAAACUUCAUAGUGAUUGAGGAACCGUUCUUCAGAAGUACUGGCCAGAAGAGGACCUCUCAAAAUUUUUUAUGUUGACAGCAUGAAAGGUUUUGUUCUUCACUUUCAUGACCAUGGCUUCUACAUUAUGGAUGCAGAUUUGCCAAGGUCUUCCUCACAUGCUUUGUUCCUAGCAGAGAGAGAAGCAAUUUCUACUCCUAGCGAGUUACUCUGCUACUAUAACCCUAUUUCAAGAGGGAUCAUCUCCAGUGGCAAAGAAGAUUCAAGCGGAGUGUUGUUAGAAGGAGAAGACCAGCUGCCUCCUCAAUGGCCCUUGGGUUUGAAGUAGGGUCAGCAGAGUAGAAGCCUGCUGGAGAUGCAGUCAGGUGCUGCUGCAUUGGCAGGCAGUGAGCUCCCUGUUAGGAACUGGAAUGCUCUCCUGCUGUUGCUGCAAAUCACAGCACAUCUCCAGUACCAAGCACUCCUUUUCCACCAGGGCUGGGACCAAAUAGCAGAGCUGGAGGUGAUGGAGUUGGAUAUCCCUACAACUUACGCUCCAGAAAGCAUUGCAAAUGGGAGUAGUACCACGUAGAUAGUGUAGAGUAGUUUUAAAAAUAAAUGUUUUUCUGCUGUCC